CGACCGGGAAACCACGGAAGCAGGGACGCCAGGAGGGCAGCCCUGAUAACCUACCGUUGUCAGCACAAUGAUCAGCACUCGCCUGCUCUAAGUACAAUAUUUGUAGGUGAUGUAAACCAUCAGAUAGCAAUCUAACUUUCACUCAGUCAAAUGCUGGCAUGCCUCACAUGGUCAUCCUGGAGACGUAGACUCAGCAUGAAUGCACUUAUUCCAGUGUGCGCCAUUCCAGCUGCCCCAGAUCAAGCCCCAGUGGAUGUUGCAAUUUCUUCAGUCCCUGGCGCUCUUCCAAGGUCAUACUGUCAUCUCUUUAUCAGAAAAAGCUUAGAUCACAAUCUCUUGAAGUGAGAUUUGAACUCUGUGGAAGCAAUCAGAGCUGGAGGCACAAUCCCCUAAGCAAUUCACCACCCUUUGACACACUAUCUACCAUUGGUUGGAAUGAGGGGGACUAAAAUGGAACUAGUUGUCUGGGUGAGCUUAUCUCCUUGGCCAUCUUUCUACAUCACAAGUGAUGACAUUCAAGUGUCAAUGCUCACACCUGCCAAACUGGUUCUCCUGAAUGCACG